rnacentral:piRNA from 1 species
UCUGUACACUCAGAGCUUACAUUAGGAGU